rnacentral:rRNA from 1 species
UACAGAGGUCUCAAGCGUUGUUCGGAUUCAUUGGGCGUAAAGGGUGCGUAGGCGGCGCGUUAAGUCGGGUGUGAAAUCUCGGAGCUUAACUCCGAAACUGCAUUCGAUACUGCCGUGCUUGAGGACUGGAGAGGAGACUGGAAUUUACGGUGUAGCGGUGAAAUGCGUAGAUAUCGUAAGGAAGACCAGUGGCGAAGGCGGGUCUCUGGACAGUUCCUGACGCUGAGGCACGAAGGUCAGGGGAGCAAGCGGG